ensembl:snRNA U6 U6 spliceosomal RNA
UUCUUGCUUUGGCAGGACAUACACUAAAGUUAGAAUGCUAUAGAGUAGAUUACCAUGGUUUCUGCACAAGAUUGGCAUGCAAAUUGUUGAAGUGUUUCAUACUUUA